rnacentral:rRNA from 1 species
ACGCUCGACACCUACGGGAGGUAGCAGUCGGGAAUAUUGCGCAAUGGAGGAAACUCUGACGCAGUGACGCCGCGUGCAGGAAGAAGGUUUUCGGAUUGUAAACUGCUUUAGACAGGGAAGAAAGAAAUGACAGUACCUGUAGAAUAAGCUCCGGCUAACUACGUGCUAGCAGCCGCGGUAAUCUGAGCGGGCUGGCAAGGC